CGACACUUGAUGGUUUGUUCGCGUGAAAACGAUAAGAAGACGAUCGUGUACCGAAGGAACGCAUUUUCUGGCAGUAUUCAGUGUGUUGAGAAGUAUUCAGAAGGACAUAUUCGCCUUUAUCUAAAAUACACAAAAUUCGUACUAUCAGGAGUGUGCAAACGAAGCUCCGAUGGAAGAUGCAAAAUUAUAACGACGAUAUGUUCAGCGAAUGAUCAAUUCAAGCGAGGUCACGUCACAUUUCACCGACGAUGAAAGUUAUCGAAACUUCCAGCACGUCGUCUCGAUAUCGACGUCUCACGACAUCCCCGAGGAGCAGCAACAACUUCCAUCCAACGAAAACGUCGUCGCUGACUGGAGCGACGAGACAGAGCGGCGGCUCUAGCGAUAGCAAAAGCACGUCUGCAAGUUUCGACACACACGGUGAACCGUCCACCACCGGUUAACCCAUUCGGCUGGCAUAACGAGCUGAACUCAUGCUCCGUGACUCGAACCGCAAUAAUCUACCAGAUCCGACUCGUGGAACGGGUACCGAUAACUUUUUAACGAGAUGGUUUUGGAGUAAUACUUUACAGAUACGGUUACGCAAAAAUUUGUUACAUCUUACCGUAUCUAUUUUGUAUAAUCGACGCCAUGAUGGUUUAGAUACUGUGUAUAUGCACGUUGCAUGACGAUGGCGAUUAUAUUCUCGACGGCAUGUCGACGACAAUCCAAGUACGUUCACUUUGACAGAGGACUAAGAAUAAAAUCUUCAUUUUUAUAAUAAUUACAGAUCAACCUCACAACAAAGAAAAUAUUCGCUGGUAAUUAGUAGAGCACAAUAACGAGAAAUACAAAUUGGUAAGCAGCACACGUGCUAGUAAUUAAAAUUGUGCAAUAAAAACACGAUAACAGUUGAGAAAAUGCAAUUAACCAACCACAUAAAAUUCAUUCGUUUAGUUUGGCCUGAAAAUUCCGAGACAACUUGAACCAAACCUGAAUGAAACAUCAGAGUGUAUAUGUAUAUCUCUAGAAUGAAAACAAUAAAUUAAAAGUGAAUAGAAAUGAAAUAAAAUUAAACCAAAGUAUGCGACAAAAUAAAAAUUAAUCAGAGACACGAUCAUGCUCCCUAAAUUAAAAUUCUGGAGCCAUGGCCAUGUCACCGAUAAAUGAAUGAAUAUGAACCAUUUCGAUCGAUCAACAAUCAUUUAUCAUAAUUAAUGAAUACCGACACACGUUUUAAUAUUACGAGUAACUUAUUCUUCAAUAUAGUUCAAUUUUAUGUAAUUGCAAUAAAUAAAAUGCAUAAGGAACGUUAGGUGGCUCCAACUCCAUUUAAUUUUAAACGAAAAGUUUCAAUUGAAAAUACAUUUUGUUCGGGAUGAUUGCGAGAAGAGAACCGGCCGAAUGGGUUAAACAAGUUCGGCUCGUGUCGAACCCGAGCUUUGUUUACAAUUGUCGAAAACGCCCGAAAGACACACGGAUCUGUA